UACAUCUUCAAUGUGCCUCCUCUAAGUUCUCUGCUCGCUGUCAAUAUCGCCCGUCUCAGCUUCAUCUGUCUUGGUCCUCUCUGCUCCGUUUCUACUUUUCUGUAUCUUCCCCUCUGCUGCUCCGGCCCGGCUCCCUGUGUCACGACACCCUGCUGCUCGUCAAAACCUUUGGCCUCGUCCUGUGAAAGCCACUGGGCCAUGUUGCAUCUAAAGGUAUUCCCAGAGCAGCACUCGACCCCCUCUGAAGAAUCUGGAAGUGUGGUCUCAUCAUAGGUUUGUCCAUCUGUAACACGACCGCCUUGGAGAACAGGCGAAGCUGUCGGCGAUUUGCCUUCUGGUGCUUGCUGGAUGUAACAGCAACUCCAUGUGGAAGCGGUGUCAGUUCCAGUGGAGGUGCUGUUACCUGCAGAGAGCCACCCAACGCAAGCUCUCAUGUUAACAAAGAUUGUUUUUUCCCUGGUUCUUGAUUCUAGGAUGUUUUACUUCAAUUGAUCGGGAGUCUCGAUGGGGCACAAGGUGAUGACCUAUGAAUUGACAGCCAGUGGUUGUUGGCAUCUGCCUGUCAGUUCUGUAGGCCACUGCUGUGUUUGUCCUCCUUAACGUGUACAGACAUUAACGAGAAGGUUUUUUUUAAUUUAUUUUUUUGAAUCCUUUUUACAACAAAUAAAGUCUGGAUGAGUUGCUCUGUGCGUGGAUGAGUCUGUCAUUUAUGCCCUGUUGCUGUGUGUAAUAAUAAAGUGUGUUGCCAAAGAAUGUCACUUUAAAAUCA